rnacentral:sRNA from 1 species
CGCGGAGAUGGAGGAUUUGCUCGACUUGGACGAGGAGCUGCGCUACAGCUUGGCUACCUCCAGGGCCAAGAUGGGUCGCCGAGCUCAACAGGAGUCAGCGCAGGCCGAGAAUCAUCUCAAUGGCAAGAAUUCCUCUUUGACUCUGACUGGAGAGACUUCCUCUCCUAAAUUACCUCGCUGCCGACAGGGAGGCUGGGCAGGUGAUUCCGUGAAGGCUUCGAAGUUUAGGAGGAAGGCUUCUGAAGAAAUAGAAGAUUUUCGCCUCAGACCACAGAGCCUGAAUGGAUCAGAUUAUGGAGGAGAUAUUCCUAUCAUUCCGGAUCUGGAGGAAGUACAGGAAGAAGACUUUGUUUUGCAGGUGGCAGCCCCUCCGAGGUAGGUUAAAUCAGAUAUGAUUGGGGAGGCAAAGAACACGUGAAUUAAUACACUCCAGAUAUCAUCUAUAGUGGACCUUGAUGUCAAUCUGGAUCUUUCUGGUGUUGGGCUCCAUCCAGGGUUCCCAUUUUGUUAUUCCCAUUCUGGUCAUCCCCAGCUGUAUACAAGGUUCUGGGGACGGUGGCCCGGCAGCACUCCUGGAACAGGUCCUGCCUGGGGUUCCCUCCUCUCGCUCUCUCUUUCCUUCAGCAUCCAGAUAAAGCGGGUGAUGACCUACCGUGACCUGGACAAUGACCUCAUGAAGUACUCAGCCAUUCAGACACUGGAUGGGGAGAUCGACCUGAAACUCCUCACCAAAGUGCUCGCGCCGGAGCACGAAGUCCGGGAGGAUGAUGUCGGCUGGGACUGGGACCAUCUGUUCACUGAGGUGUCCUCAGAGGUCCUCACUGAGUGGGACCCACUGCAGACGGAGAAGGAGGACCCUGCAGGGCAGGCCAGGCACACCUGAGCCCGUCACCCAUGCUCUAGACAUGAAGAAAUGCAAUGAGCUUAAAGCUAAAGAAGCUUUCUCUUCUUGGAAAAUGUAUCACAAGUGAAGGAGAACAGCUUUUAAAGCAGCUGAUAGGAACUCAGAACUCGCGGCCUUGUUGCGGAGCAUGUGGGAGAGUUCGAUUCAGGCGGAGAAGGAGUGGGCACUCCUACUGAAAGUUGUUCACUUCUCGGGAGGUUUCAAACAGUUGCCUGCUGGGGUUCUGGGGCGGGGCCUCCCUUCCCGUGGGUGCUCUGGGCCCUUUGUGACCUUAGUGACGCAGCACUGCCACCUGCAUCAUAGGCUUCCAGGCAGCUGCAGCGGAGGGAGGAGGCGGCGGGAGGGAUAAGGAGACCCAUUCUUCACUCGCAUCAGGGUUUGGUGGCUGUUGUGACAAUAUUCUCCUUUCUCCCCUCUUCCUGCAAUCCAUGCCUUGAGCUCCAAAAGCUUCUACAGGUUCCCAGAGCCUCAUUUCUGAUUCUCAUGGGAAGGGGCCAGCCAGCAGCCCUGAGAAUUCCAUGGAAGCCCUCUCUUACAGAGCCUGGGCCUCCCUUCUCCUUAUCCUUUUAGAUACGUCGCAGCCAUCUCCACCGCUGCAAGUAUUAUAACCGCCUGGUUCCAAGAUGUGCUGAGAUCAGGAGCAGAGUCCCACCCUUCUCCUAAACAGAGCUGUCUUUUGUUUUUGUUUUUCUCUUUUCCUCCCUGAGACUUCUUAUCUGAGGACAGAGCCCCUUCGCUGCCUGCUUCUCUUGGAUGCGGCUUUGGGUUAGGCUGGCAGCAGCUAACUAAGGCCCACUCACUCCCCGGCCAUAGGGAGCGCUGAGUGCUUCUGUUAUCCUGCCUGGAAAGCCCUUCAUUAAAAUUC